AAGAGCUCAAAUUUAAAAUCUGGCAGGCUACGCUUGUCCGAAUUGUAAUCUCGAGAAGUGUUUUCCGCGUUGGCCUGUGUACAAGUCCCUUGGAACAGGGCGUCAUAGAGGGUGAGAAUCCCGUCCUUGACACAGACACCCAAUGCUUUGUGAUACACUCUCAAUGAGUCGAGUUGUUUGGGAAUGCAGCUCAAAAUGGGUGGUAAAUUCCAUCUAAAGCUAAAUACU
rnacentral:rRNA from 1 species